rnacentral:rRNA from 1 species
UACGAAGGGGGCUAGCGUUGCUCGGAAUCACUGGGCGUAAAGCGCACGUAGGCGGAUUGCUAAGUCAGGGGUGAAAUCCUGGAGCUCAACUCCAGAACUGCCUUUGAUACUGGCGAUCUUGAGUCCGGGAGAGGUGAGUGGAACUGCGAGUGUAGAGGUGAAAUUCGUAGAUAUUCGCAAGAACACCAGUGGCGAAGGCGGCUCACUGGCCCGGUACUGACGCUGAGGAGCGGAAAGCCAGGGGAGCAAAGCGGG